rnacentral:snRNA from 1 species
GCUCGCUUCGGCAGCACUUAUACUAAAAUUGGAACAAUACAGAGAUGAUUAGCAUGGCCUCUGCGCAAGGAUGACACGCAAAUUCAUGAAGUCUUUCAUAAGGUG